rnacentral:rRNA from 1 species
UGGGGAAUAUUGGACAAUGGGCGAAAGCCUGAUCCAGCCAUGCCGCGUGUGUGAAGAAGGUCUUCGGAUUGUAAAGCACUUUAAGUUGGGAGGAAGGGCAUUAACCUAAUACGUUAGUGUUUUGACGUUACCGACAGAAUAAGCACCUGCUAACUCUGUGCCAGCAGCCGCGGUAAUACAGAGGGUGCAAGCGUUAAUCGGAAUUACUGGGCGUAAAGCGCGCGUAGGUGGUUUGUUAAGUUGGAUGUGAAAUCCCCGGGCUCAACCUGGGAACUGCAUUCAAAACUGACUGACUAGAGUAUGGUAGAGGGUGGUGGAAUUUCCUGUGUAGCGGUGAAAUGCGUAGAUAUAGGAAGGAACACCAGUGGCGAAGGCGACCACCUGGACUAAUACUGACACUGAGGUGCGAAAGCGUGGGGAGCAAACA